rnacentral:misc_RNA from 1 species
UAAUAAGUGUUUUAUGGCACUUUUUAAAUCCAUAUCCACCUUGUGUGCAAUGUCAGUCGAUCUUCUUCAUGGAGAUCGACCAAACAUCAACCUUUAUCUUUUAACUCUUUGUCUGAAAAAUAUUAUGAAUAAACAAUUCAAGAUA